AUUGAACGCUGGCGGCAGGCCUAACACAUGCAAGUCGAACGAGUGGCGGACGGGUGAGUCAUGUCUGGGAAACUGCCUGAUGGAGGGGGUUAACUACUGGAAACGGUAGCUAAUACCGCAUACCAUCGGAUGUGCCCAGAUGGGAUUAGCUAGUCGGUGGGGUAGCGGCUCACCUAGGCGACGAUCCCUAGCUGGUCUGCGAGGAGGACCGACCACACUGGAACUGGGACACGGUCCAGACGCCUACGGGAGGCAGCAGUGGGGAAUAUUGCACAAUGGGGGCAAGCCGAAUGCAGCCAGGCCGCGUGUAUGAAGAAGGCCUUCGGGUUGUAAAGUACUUUCAGCGGGGAGGCGUUACCCGCAGAAGAAGCACCGACUAACUCCGUGCCAGCAGCCGCGGUAAUAC
rnacentral:rRNA from 1 species